GCAUAACGCGAAGAACCUUACCCACCUUUGACAUGUACGGAAGUUACCAGAGAUGGUUUCGUGCUCGAAAGAGAACCGUAACACAGGUGCUGCAUGGCUGUCGUCAGCUCGUGUCGUGAGAUGUUGGGUUAAGUCCCGCAACGAGCGCAACCCUUGUCCUUAUUUGCCAGCCUGUUUACAGGCGUACUUUAAGGAGACUGCCGUAGAUAAUACGGAGGAAGGUGGGGAUGACGUCAAAUCCUCAUGCCCCUUACGUCCCGGGCUACACACGUGCUACAAUGGUCUGUACAGAGGGUAGCCAAGAAGCAAUUCGGAGCCAAUCCCAAAAAGCAGGCCCCAGUUCGGAUUGGAGGCUGCAACUCGCCUCCAUGAAGUCGGAAUCGCUAGUAAUCGCGGAUCAGCACGCCGCGGUGAAUCCGUUCCCGGGUCUUGUACACACCG
rnacentral:rRNA from 1 species